UGACAGAAUAAAAUGUAAAUUUCAGCAUAUUUUUUCACACAAAAAUGUGUUUGUGCGUAGAAAUGUGAUCAGGCUGAGCACAUGGCCUUAUGGAUUACAUAAUUUUCGGCGCUUAACGUAAAAACAGUUUAAGGACAUGAUUCACAAACAUUCAAUUUAUGCUUAAAUGUACAUGCGAUACAUUAUGCAUAUGAAUAUAAUUCACGAUAGUAUCGCAUAUGGAAGUAACUGGAAUAAAUUUGGACUAUUUCCUUCGGAUGUUUACAUGACUGUGCUGUCAGAAGGCCUCCCAUGUGUUUACAUAUUUUGACAGGUCGAGUUGCUCUUGCAGGAACGACGAUAAGAUGAAUACCUGCACCAUGGAAAUAUUGUAGAUCUAAUUUGUAAACUGUCGUGGAACCUGUGUUCAUGCAGCUCACACAUUUCCUAUUCAACAGGAAUGCAUGAUGGACACCAACAGUACAGAAAGAUGAAGAUGUAAAUUGAUCCAAGUAAACAAUGGGAAAAUGAAUGCUAUAAUUACCAAGAAGAAGACUGCAUUUUUAUACAGUUGAAGUAUGAUAUGGUGAAUAAAUACCCUCAAUGCAGCCUUGUGGAGCUUUUGCUAAACCAUGAACAGUAAACAUAAAAAAGAUGCUCAUCUAAAGGGCCACAGGUGUUUGAAGCAUUGGUCAACAACAAAAAAGCAACUGAACUAUUUGAUGGAUUAUACAGAAUGUACAAUCAGAUUUCAAGAAUCAGAGAAAUAUAAGUGUCAAGUGUUAGGGAGAUAGGAAAAUAAGCAUCAUGCAUGAAGAACCUGCCUUAGAUUAAUUUGCAAAAUACAUUGAAAUCUCACAAUUGCUAAUGGAAGUUAAGAAUGGUGUACUCCUCUGGAAAAUAUGUGUCUAGACAGUACUGCAACAAUAUUUUGUUUUCAAUUUUCUGAGCACAAUUCUACAUAAUAAUUGUACAUAAAAAUUGUAACAUGGUUACAUGAAUAAUACAGAACAUGUAAUCAUAUUUCCAGACACAAAUUGGGAGAAUCAGAGAAGAAAUAUCAAGGAUUAGGGAAAAAGAAAUAUCUGUCAUGCAUGAAGAACCGGCUUUAUAUUAAUUUACAAAAUGCUUUGAAGCCUCAAAACCGUUAAUGACAUUAUACAUAUUGAAGAUUGCAAACGGGCAUUUUGAUAAAUCAUAUACUGGCACAAUAUUUUUUUCAAUUCACUGAGCCUAGUUCUACAUAAACAAUGUAACUUAAUAAUGUAGUCUUUGAAAAAGUAUAAGUCUUUCGUACUUGUUUUAUAGAAAACGUUUCAUGAUUUUUCAAUGUAAAUGUGCUAUUGCUUUUUUUGUGGUGUGGAAAGUGAGAUUCAAAUAAUGUUUUUCGCAAUGUCAGUAUUUUUUCCAUUAUUGGGUGGAUUUUUAGCUCACCAGAGCACAAAUUGCUCAAGGUGAGCUAUUGUGACCGGUCAUUGUCCAGCGUCCGUCAACAUUUGCCUUGUGAUCACUCUACUAGAGGCCACAUUUGUAACCC
rnacentral:lncRNA from 1 species